rnacentral:tRNA from 1 species
GCCGAGGUGUGCUGGUAAGCUUGGGAGUCGGACUUUUAAUCACAGGGUCCCGGGUUCGAGUCCCGGACGGCU